UACGUGGGGUGCGAGCGUUGUCCGGAAUUAUUGGGCGUAAAGGGCUCGUAGGCGGUUUGUCGCGUCGGGAGUGAAAACCAUGGGCUUAACUCAUGGCUUGCUUCCGAUACGGGCAGACUAGAGGUAUGCAGGGGAGAACGGAAUUCCUGGUGUAGCGGUGAAAUGCGCAGAUAUCAGGAGGAACACCGGUGGCGAAGGCGGUUCUCUGGGCAUUACCUGACGCUGAGGAGCGAAAGUGUGGGGAGCGAACAGG
rnacentral:rRNA from 1 species